AUACGGAGGAUGCGAGCGUUAUCCGGAUUUAUUGGGUUUAAAGGGAGCGUAGGCGGGAGCUUAAGUCAGCGGUUAAAUGGUGCGGCUCAACCGUGCCCUGCCGUUGAAACUGGGUUUCUUGGGAGUGCAAGAGGCGGAUGGAAUUCAUGGGGGAGCGGGGAAAUGCUUAGAUAUCAUGAAGAACUCCGAUUGCGAAGGCAGUCCGCUGGGGCACGUCUGACGCUGAUGCUCGAAGGUGCGGGAAUCAAACAGGAUUAGAUACCCUGGUAGUCCGCACGGUAAACGAUGAUUACCCGCUGUCGGCGGCAGACAGUCGGCGGCCAAGCGAAAGCGAUAAGUAAUCCACCUGGGGAGUACGCCGGCAACGGUGAAACUCAAAUGAAUUGGCGGGG
rnacentral:rRNA from 1 species